rnacentral:rRNA from 1 species
AGAGUUUGAUCAUGGCUCAGGACGAACGCUGGCGGCGUGCUUAAUACAUGCAAGUCGAGCGGACCUUUGCCGUUUGUUGCCGGUUUCCGGCGACAAAUGGCAAAGGUUAGCGGCGAACGGGUGAGUAACGCGUGGGUAAUCUGCCCCCAAGACCGGGAUAACAGGGCGAAAGCGCUGCUAAUACCGGAUGACCUCUCUUUAUCGCAUGGUGAAGGGAGCAAAGCUACGGCGCUUGGGGAUGAGCCCGCGUUCCAUUAGCUAGUUGGUGAGGUAACAGCUCACCAAGGCGACGAUGGAUAGCCGGCCUGAGAGGGUGACCGGCCACACUGGGACUGAGACACGGCCCAGACUCCUACGGGAGGCAGCAGUAGGGAAUUUUCGGCAAUGGGGGAAACCCUGACCGAGCAACGCCGCGUGAGGGAUGAAGGCCUUCGGGUCGUAAACCUCUGUCUUUGGGGACGAUAAUGACGGUACCCGAGGAGGAAGCCCCGGCUAACUACGUGCCAGCAGCCGCGGUAAU